UACGAAGGGGGCUAGCGUUGCUCGGAAUUAUUGGGCGUAAAGCGCACGUAGGCGGCUUUGCAAGUCCCAUGUGAAAGCCCACGGCUCAACCGUGGAAGUGCAUGGGAAACUGCAGAGCUUGAGUACUUAAGAGGAUCGCGGAAUUCCCGGUGUAGAGGUGAAAUUCGUAGAUAUCGGGAGGAACACCAGUGGCGAAGGCGGCGAUCUGGGAAGAUACUGACGCUGAGGUGCGAAAGCGUGGGGAGCGAACAGG
rnacentral:rRNA from 1 species